rnacentral:rRNA from 1 species
CGAGCUGGGUUCAGACCGGCGUGAGCCAGGUCGGUCCCUAUCUGCUGUGGGCGCAGGAAUCUUGAGGAGCUAUUUCUUUAGUACGAGAGGAUUAAGAAGUACUGACCGCUGGUGUACCGGCUGUCCCGCUAGGGGCACCGCCGGGUAGCUAUGUCGGGAAAGGAUAACCGCUGAAAGCAUCUAAGCGGGAAGCCAACUCCAAGAUAAGGAAUCGUUGAGGGCCGUGGGAGAUGACCACGUUGAUAGGCGCUAGGUGGAAGGCGAGCAAUCGCUUGAGCCGAGGCGUACUAAUACCCCGACAGAACUCUCGAA